rnacentral:tRNA from 1 species
GCGGGCGUGGCGAAAUGGUAGACGCAGCAGACUCAAAAUCUGCCGUAGCAAUACAUGUCGGUUCGAGUCCGACCGCCCGCA